UAACUAUUGGAAACGAUAGCUAAUACCGCAUAACAAUGGAUGACCCAUGUCAUUCAUUUGAAAGGGGCAACUGCUCCACUACAAGAUGGACCUGCGUUGUAUUAGCUAGUAGGUGAGGUAACGGCUUACCUAGGCGACGAUACAUAGCCGACCUGAGAGGGUGAUCGGCCACACUGGGACUGAGACACGGCCCAG
rnacentral:rRNA from 1 species